rnacentral:rRNA from 1 species
CGAACGCUGGCGGCGUGCUUAACACAUGCAAGUCGAACGGAAUCCAUGGUGUAGCAAUACACCGGAAGAUUUAGUGGCGAACGGGUGAGGAUCACGUGAGAAACCUGCCCCAGACUUUGGGAUAACAAUUGGAAACGAUUGCUAAUACCGAAUGACGUCGGAGAACCGCAUGGUUCACUGACGAAAGGAAAUCCGGUUUGGGAGGGUCUCGCGGCCUAUCAGCUUGUUGGUGGGGUAAUGGCCUACCAAGGCAACGACGGGUAGCUGGUCUGAGAGGAUGAUCAGCCACACUGGGACUGAGACACGGCCCAGACUCCUACGGGAGGCAGCAGUGGGGAAUCUUGCGCAAUGGGCGAAAGCCUGACGCAGCAACGCCGCGUGCGGGAUGAAGGCCUUCGGGCUGUAAACCGCUUUCAGCAGGAACGAAAAUGACGGUACCUGCAGAAGAAGGAGCGGCCAACUACGUGCCAGCAGCCGCGGUGACACGUAGGCUCCAAGCGUUGUCCGGAUUUAUUGGGCGUAAAGAGCUCGUAGGCGGUUUAGUAAGUCGGGUGUUAAAACUCUGGGCUCAACCCGGAGAGGCCAUCCGAUACUGCUGUGACUUGAGUUCAGGAGGGGAGCGGGGAAUUCCUAGUGUAGCGGUGAAAUGCGCAGAUAUUAGGAGGAACACCGGUGGCGAAGGCGCCGCUCUGGACUGAAACUGACGCUGAGGAGCGAAAGCAUGGGUAGCAAACAGGAUUAGAUACCCUGGUAGUCCAUGCCGUAAACGGUGGGCACUAGGUGUGGGUUCCAACUAACGGGAUCCGCGCC